CGUGCCAGCAGCCGCGGUAAUACGUAGGGAGCAAGCGUUUGUCCGGAUUUACUGGGUGUAAAGGGUGCGUAGGCGGCAAUGCAAGUCAGAUGUGAAAUCUAUGGGCUCAACCCAUAAACUGCAUUUGAAACUGUAGAGCUUGAGUGAAGUAGAGGCAGGCGGAAUUCCCCGUGUAGCGGUGAAAUGCGUAAAGAUGGGGAGGAACACCAGUGGCGAAGGCGGCCUGCUGGGCUUUAACUGACGCUGAGGCACGAAAGCGUGGGUAGCAAACAGGAUUAGAUACCCUGGUAGUCCACGCUGUAAACGAUGAUUACUAGGUGUGGGGGGUGUGACCCCUUCCGUGCCGGAGUUAACACAAUAAGUAAUCCACCAGGGGAGUACGGCCGCAAGGUUGAAACUCAAAGGAAUUGACGGGGGCCCGCACAAGCAGUGGAGUAUGUGGUUUAAUUUGAAGCAACGCGAAGAACCUUACCAGGUCUUGACAUCCAACUAACGAAGUAGAGAUACAUUAGGUGCCCUUCGGGGAAAGUUGAGACAGGUGGUGCAUGGUUGUCGUCAGCUCGUGUCGUGAGAUGUUGGGUUAAGUCCCGCAACGAGCGCAACCCUUGCUAUUAGUUGUUACGCAAGAGCACUCUAAUAGGACUGCCGUUGACAAAACGGAGGAAGGUGGGGAGGACGUCAAAUCAUCAUGCCCCUUAUGACCUGGGCUACACACGUACUACAAUGGAUGUUAACAGAGGGAAGCAAGACAGUGAUGUGGAGCAAACCCCUAAAAACAUUCUCAGUUCAGAUUGCAGGCUGCAACCCGCCUGCAUGAAGAUGGAAUUGCUAGUAAUCGCGGAUCAGCAUGCCGCGGUGAAUA
rnacentral:rRNA from 1 species